CCCCUAUCAGUAUUGCCUCUGCUUUCACUAGAGUUAACAGAGUAGUGCAAUAUUGCUUAUAGGGUCU
ensembl:miRNA